GAUGAACGCUGGCGGCGUGCUUAACACAUGCAAGUCGAACGAUGAAGCCCAGCUUGCUGGGUGGAUUAGUGGCGAACGGGUGAGUAACACGUGAGUAACCUGCCCUUAACUCUGGGAUAAGCCUGGGAAACUGGGUCUAAUACCGGAUAGGAGCGUCCACCGCAUGGUGGGUGUUGGAAAGAUUUAUCGGUUUUGGAUGGACUCGCGGCCUAUCAGCUUGUUGGUGAGGUAAUGGCUCACCAAGGCGACGACGGGUAGCCGGCCUGAGAGGAUGACCGGCCACACUGGGACUGAGACACGGCCCAGACUCCUACGGGAGGCAGCAGUGGGGAAUAUUGCACAAUGGGCGCAAGCCUGAUGCAGCGACGCCGCGUGAGGGAUGACGGCCUUCGGGUUGUAAACCUCUUUCAGUAGGGAAGAAGCGAAAGUGACGGUACCUGCAGAAGAAGCACCGGCUAACUACGUG
rnacentral:rRNA from 1 species